ACACAAUAAAUUUGGCCCCUUGAUAUUUCUGUUUAUGGGUUGUUUUUCAGGGGAGCUCAUAGUUUAGUAGUUCUCUUCUGUGCUAAUCUGAAUUGUAGGUGGUCCAUUGUUUAAUUGCUCAUGCACAUUAUUAAUUGUGGUUUGCAUCGUCAAUCUGCACUUUGGUAAGAGCACCUAGGAGUUCCUGACUAUUCUCUGGGCAACCUCCUAUAUUUUAUAGUAGUUCAACUUAGCCUUUAUUUGUGGCAAACCGUGAUUCCGUACUACACCUUGGAAUCUUUUUUAAGUCUGAAUUGCGUGGUUUACUGACUAAAUUUACCCACUAGCUCAGCUGAUUUAUGCAAAGUACAGUAGUAACUUUGUUUGGAUCUGAACUUAUAUCACUCUAAGAACUUCUACAUAGAAUGAUUUAUCAUCACUAGAAUAUUUAUGCCCCGUUGUAAUGCACGGGCAUGUUUUCUUGCAAAAUUUAUUUUAAAUGUUUUUUGCUGGUUGAUUAUGUUUGGAGUUCCUUUCUUUGUUAUUAUCUUCAUUGCAUUGCUAGUUUCUUUUAUCCGGUACCAUUUUGUGGUUAUAUAUGCUUUACUUAUUCACUUAGAAUAUCAAUAUCUUAUCGGUGAAUCGGUUCACUUGCACAAGGAUCUUGCCAAAACAUCAAGUUUCCCGAACAUAAAAAUUAUGUCAUUUCGGUGGAAUAAAGAAUUUAUCUCUAGCACGGUGAAACAAAUAAUUUAUCUCUAGCAAUAAAAUUAUGUUUCUUACCAAUAAGAAUGUAUCGCUGCAGUAUUUUUAUUAUGUUACGGCUAAUAGUUGGGUUGCUCCAUUAGCAAGAAGUCAAUUUGUCAGUGGAAACAUAGCUGCAAGGAUGCGAUAUUUCAACUUUGAGGUUACUUAAGCUUUUGGACUUCAGAUUUAGUUGCCAUCACGAAACUGGUAUGCAAUUGAGCUGCACUUGCGCGCGCAUGCUGAUUUCUAAAUAUCGCACAGUACUAUAGUUGUGAUCCUCUAAAUAGCUUAUAUUUGAGCACAGUCUUGCGGAAUAGUUACAGUGAACAAAAAGCUUGCAUUUGAUUGAUUUGAUUUGUUAGUUUUUUGAAUGGUGCUGCCCCUAUUAGGCUAAGUAGAAGCACUAUACUGGGCCUAAAGUACAUCAGGUUACCUUUCAUGAGGUCUGUGGAAUUUUUGUAAUUUGCGGUAUGGUAUUUUUGGAAUUAUUUUGGGUACAAGGAAAGAAGUGAGACAUAACUGCAAUUUUUUGUGGUAAAAUUUACUGAAAUUGGUGUUUCUUUUCAAGAUUGUAUUACUGUUUGCCCAUUUGAUCCUUGGAUGAUCUACUAUUUUUCUUUUCUAUUUGUUGCGGAUAAUUUGCUUCAGUUCAUCAGAUUACCUGGGGAAACAUGCUCAUUGUUUAUCUAAAGAUAUAUUGGGUAUCAGUCCACCUGUCAUGAGGUCUCUAAAUUUUUGAGGCAUGUUUUUUUUCUGAAUAAUUUAUUGGAGAUACUAUGCUUGGACUCACAAAUGCAUGUAGUGCUUCCACUAGAGGGAUGUUCUUCAUUUUUUCUGUGCUCUUUCAAGUUUUUGGUCCUUGAAAAGUAAUAGUACUUGCUAAGUUUCUAGCUUUAUUUUUUCUGUAGUACAAGCUAAAUGUAUAUGCCUGAAUUUACAUAUCAGAGUGUUUGAGUUGAUUAAGGGUAUGAGAGAGAACAAUUUUCAUCCUCAAACAACACCCGACAUCAUUAAUUUUCUUAUUUACCAAUUGAAACACGAGGCAAUAAUAGCACAACUUAAGUGUGUGAACAUAUCAAUAUAAAAUGAUUGGCCGGAUUAUGUUUUUAUGCAUUCUAGAAGUGGCAUUUCCGUGAAAUUACAAACUAGCUUUACAUUUUCUCGAAACACUUUGUGAAAUUUUAUUGGAGAAUGUUUUUUUUCUUUUCCAUCGUUCGUUGCCCAUUUGUCCCGUUCUGCUCCUGUUUGUCAUGAGUAAUGUGAUGUGUUGAAAUAGAGGGCGUAAACUUGUGGGGGCUUUUAGCCAUGGGGCUAUUGGGCUAGAGGCAUGCGAUAUAUUUUCCUCCCGUUGCAACGCACGGGCCCUUUUGCUAGUAAACCAAAUAAAUCUUUUCUUAAUAAUAAAGCACAGAUUGACUUUGUCGGGCUCACUGUCACAAUACGCUUCUUUCCGUGAAUUUACGCUUUCAGUUUUUUUUAUCUAUAUUAGUUUCUACAUCCGAGGUGGUACUAUUUUACGUGCAUAUACUAUUAUCUAUAUCUAUAUGACGUGAGGGAUGCGAUAUUUUUCUCGCACAUUGCUCCGUUGGGCCUCGACUGGCUGCAUCCUGGGCUGCAUCCGUGGCCCAGAAGAAGGCCGACAAGCCAACGAUGCGUUAAAAAAGAUUUCGAUGGGGACAGGACUCGAACCUGGGUGGUGCCCGUUGUAAUGGCCAUGGCUGACUCGCCAGACGCCGCCGGAGGGAGCCCAAUAUACCCUAGCUCGAUGGGCUCGCCAGCCGCCUAGGUAAUAGGGAAAACAUGUGUCGCAUCGGCACAUUUGAUACAGAGCAGCAACUACCUGGUUAUUGAGGGCGUGCACCGGAUGUGCAUAGCAGCACCAGUGCCGACCAAUUCGGCGGCGAACGCCAUGUGGAGGUGCACGGGAUGACGGCGACGCUGGCGAAGCUGAUGUGGAGGUAUGCGUGUGUGAUGACCUGUUGUUCCUGGCUUCCGACGGUCCAUGGUGGGGGAGGACCAAGUGGUGGCCUUCUUUGGUGACUUCAUGGGCGUGUCAGCCCUCAUCUCCACUUUGUCAUUGACGACAUCUACGGCCAUGACCCUCCGCCAUCCACUUACUUGGCACCUCGAGUGGGAGGGGCUGCCGUUCCAGUUCAGCAGGGGCUGCACCUUCUACCGCAGUGAUCCCAACCUGCAUGGGCAGCAGCAGAUUCAGAUUGUGUAAGCAUCAUUCGCUCACUAGCUAGAUCAAUUCGAAUUUUGUGUUCUGAUUUUGCACGUUGCGAGCUUUGCUAUAUAUCACAUAUCACAACUCUAUUAUCUUCCAGUAACUCUAUCAUCUUUCAGUACCAUGAUGUGUGUGCAUAUCUCUUUGGUUCUCAAACAAGAGCUGCAUGUCUUUCAGUUUGCACUGUGGAUGAAGUGCAGUGUACGGUCGGUGUUGUAAGCAUAGAGUGUAGGCAGGUCAAGAUGCAAGUUUGUUUGGUUUUGACUCCAAGCAUGAAUAUUUGAUAAUUAGAGAAGGAUCUUGGGUAAAGAUCUUUGCCUAGAUCAAUAUAGUCAUAUAGGCCAUGUUAUCUUCUAGCAAAAAUAUAGCAAUAAUUUCUUCUUUGCCUGUUCCUCUCUUUUUCUUUUUUCUUUCUUUCUUUUCUCAAUGCACUGUAUGAUGAUUGUAAUGGGCCACAUUGGCAAAGACUGGACAUUCUGGAUUUGGAAGAAUGCAAUGAUCAAUUUUUUAUGCAGCUCCAAAUGCAACGCACAACGAAACAAAAAAAUAGAUACUCCUAGGCUCGAUCUUUCUACUGCAACUAAAAAUAAAUACUUAUUAUGACACUUUUCUCGAUCUGUUUGGCAUGUUUUAUUAUCUUCUCUGGC